rnacentral:rRNA from 1 species
UGCGCAGGCGGCUUGAUAAGUCAGGGGUGAAAUAUGACGGCUUAACCGUCAAACUGCCCCUGAAACUGUCAGGCUUGAGUCCGGGAGAGGAAGGUGGAAUUCCAGGUGUAGCGGUGAAAUGCGUAAAUAUCUGGAGGAACACCGGUGGCGAAGGCGGCCUUCUGGCCCGGAACUGACGCUCAGGCACGAAAGCAUGGGGAGCGAAC